AUUCGGAGGAUGCGAGCGUUAUCCGGAUUUAUUGGGUUUAAAGGGUGCGUAGGCUGUGCGUUAAGUCAGGGGUGAAAUGCCGUCGCUCAACGACGGAGCUGCCCUUGAUACUGGCGUGCUGGAGUACGGAUGCCGUUGGAGGAAUGAGUGGUGUAGCGGUGAAAUGCUUAGAUAUCACUCAGAACACCGAUUGCGAAGGCAUCUGACGAAUCCGUCACUGACGCUGAGGCACGAAAGCGUGGGGAUAGAACAGGAUUAGAUACCCUGGUAUUCCACGCCGUAAACGAUGAUGACUAACCGUCGGCGAUAGACAGCCGGUGGCCAAGCGAAAGCGAUAAGUCAUCCACCUGGGGAGUACGUCGGCAACGAUGAAACUCAAAGGAAUUGACGGGG
rnacentral:rRNA from 1 species